rnacentral:rRNA from 1 species
AACGAACGCUGGCGGCAGGCCUAGCACAUGCAAGUCGAGCGCGCCCUUCGGGGUGAGCGGCGGACGGGUGAGUAACGCGUGGGAACGUGCCCUUCUCUGCGGAAUAGCCUCGGGAAGCUGAGAGUAAUACCGCAUACGCCCUUUGGGGGAAAGAUUUAUCGGAGAAGGAUCGGCCCGCGUUGGAUUAGGUAGUUGGUGGGGUAAUGGCCCACCAAGCCGACGAUCCAUAGCUGGUUUGAGAGGAUGAUCAGCCACACUGGGACUGAGACACGGCCCAGCCUCCUACGGGAGGCAGCAGUGGGGAAUCUUAGACAAUGGGGGCAACCCUGAUCUAGCCAUGCCGCGUGAGUGAUGAAGGCCUUAGGGUUGUAAAGCUCUUUCAGCUGGGAAGAUAAUGACGGUACCAGCAGAAGAAGCCCCGGCUAACUCCGU